rnacentral:lncRNA from 12 species
AUGUAUUUUCUAGCUAUUUCCUUAGCAAGAUCUUGGAGUGUUCAUAAAUUGACUUUGACUCCUCCAGUUUACGAUUUUACAGCAUCCAAGAAAGAUAAAAUGUUUUCUGCUGCAGCUAAGGAGAAUAAUAUUGCUACAGUCUAUUUACUUGUAUUGCAAGUAAUAAUCACCAAUGAUGAACACAGGGCUGAGGAAUAACAUAAGGCCUUUUCCUCAACGCUCUAAUCUCCAAUUACGCCUGUACGUCAGAUGGGUAAGACAAUCUCUAAGUUUAAAGACUGCCAAUAGUUUAAUUUCAGGGGCCUGGCACAUAGUAGCUGCUCUGUAAAUAUUUGUUGAGUGAAUAAACAGAUCUGACUGCCUCUUCUGGCUUUCCUG